GAUGAACGCUGGCGGCGUGCCUAAUACAUGCAAGUCGAGCGAACAGACGAGGAGCUUGCUCCUCUGACGUUAGCGGCGGACGGGUGAGUAACACGUGGAUAACCUACCUAUAAGACUGGGAUAACUUCGGGAAACCGGAGCUAAUACCGGAUAAUAUAUUGAACCGCAUGGUUCAAUAGUGAAAGACGGUUUUGCUGUCACUUAUAGAUGGAUCGGCGCCGCAUUAGCUAGUUGGUAAGGUAACGGCUUACCAAGGCAACGAUGCGUAGCCGACCUGAGAGGGUGAUCGGCCACACUGGAACUGAGGCACGGUCCAGACUCCUACGGGGGGCAGCAGUAGGGAAUCUUCCGCAAUGGGCGAAAGCUUGACGGAGCAACGCCGCGUGAGUGAUGAAGGUCUUCGGAUCGUAAAACUCUGUUAUUAGGGAAGAACAAAUGUGUAAGUAACUAUGCACGUCUUGACGGUACCUAAUCAGAAAGCCACGGCUAACUACGUG
rnacentral:rRNA from 1 species